rnacentral:rRNA from 1 species
AUUGAACGCUGGCGGCAUGCUUUACACAUGCAAGUCGGACGAGUGGCGGACGGGUGAGUAACGCAUCGGAACGUGCCGAGUAAUGGGGGAUAACUGCCCGAAAGGAUAGCUAAUACCGCAUACUAUUCGAGCGGCCGAUGUCGGAUUAGCUGGUUGGGGGGGUAAAGGCUCACCAAGGCGACGAUCAGUAGCGGGUCUGAGAGGAUGACCCGCCACACGGGGACUGAGACACGGCCCAGACUCCUACGGGAGGCAGAAGUGGGGAAUUUUGGACAAUGGGCGCAAGCCUGAUCCAGCCAUGCCGCGUGUAUGAAGAAGGCCUUCGGGUUGUAAAGGACUUUUGUCAGGGAAGCGGUACCUGAAGAAUAAGCACCGGCUAACUACGUGCCAGCAGCCGCGGUAAUAC